rnacentral:tmRNA from 1 species
GGGGAUGUACCGGUUUCGACAGAUAAGAGUAAUCUUGUGCUGCAGGCAGGCGUGAAGGUGCCUUAAACUGACAAAAAAAUAACUGCAAAACGUAGAGAAGACGAAGAGUCUGAAAACGUACAGUUGCUCGCUGCUUAAGUGAGCCGACACCCGCGGUGUGCUGUUCCUAACGCUACGGCUUGUCGUCACAAACAGGGACUUGCUUUGUACGAAGCACGGGUCGUACACGGGACUUUUUCUGUGCUAAGGAAAGGACGCCUUUGAAGCCGCUACCCUUUCCCGACAAAUACCUCGCUUCAAUAAGCCUGUAGAGGUGCCUGGUUAGCUUAACUGGACGGGGGUUCAAUUCCCCCCAUCUCCAUUA